rnacentral:rRNA from 1 species
UGCAGUCGAACGGUGAAGCCCAGCUUGCUGGGUGGAUCAGUGGCGAACGGGUGAGUAACACGUGAGCAAUCUGCCCCUGACUCUGGGAUAAGCGCUGGAAACGGCGUCUAAUACUGGAUAUGAGCUGCGAUCGCAUGGUCAGUAGCUGGAAAGAUUUUUUGGUCAGGGAUGAGCUCGCGGCCUAUCAGCUUGUUGGUGAGGUAAUGGCUCACCAAGGCGUCGACGGGUAGCCGGCCUGAGAGGGUGACCGGCCACACUGGGACUGAGACACGGCCCAGACUCCUACGGGAGGCAGCAGUGGGGAAUAUUGCACAAUGGGCGCAAGCCUGAUGCAGCAACGCCGCGUGAGGGAUGACGGCCUUCGGGUUGUAAACCUCUUUUAGCAGGGAAGAAGCGAAAGUGACGGUACCUGCAGAAAAAGCGCCGGCUAACUACGUGCCAGCAGCCGCGGUAAUACGUAGGGCGCAAGCGUUAUCCGGAAUUAUUGGGCGUAAAGAGCUCGUAGGCGGUUUGUCGCGUCUGCUGUGAAAUCCCGAGGCUCAACCUCGGGUCUGCAGUGGGUACGGGCAGACUAGAGUGCGGUAGGGGAGAUUGGAAUUCCUGGUGUAGCGGUGGAAUGCGCAGAUAUCAGGAGGAACACCGAUGGCGAAGGCAGAUCUCUGGGCCGUAACUGACGCUGAGGAGCGAAAGGGUGGGGAGCAAACAGGCUUAGAUACCCUGGUAGUCCACCCCGUAAACGUUGGGAACUAG